rnacentral:snoRNA from 1 species
CCCGCCGAGGAUGAGCCGUUACCGCCCCAGGCUGAUCCCCCUGAGUGAGUGGUUCCACCUGAGGCGGG